rnacentral:rRNA from 1 species
GACGAACGCUGGCGGCGUGCUUAACACAUGCAAGUCGAACGGUAAGGCCCUUCGGGGUACACGAGUGGCGAACGGGUGAGUAACACGUGGGUGAUCUGCCCUGCACUUCGGGAUGAGCCUGGGAAACUGGGUCUAAUACCGGAUAGGACUCCGGACUGCAUGGUCUGGGGUGGAAAGCUUUUGCGGUGUGGGGUGGGCCCGCGGGCUAUCAGCUUGUUGGUGGGGUGAUGGCCUACCAAGGCGACGACGGGUAGCCGGCCUGAGAGGGUGACCGGCCACACUGGGACUGAGAUACGGCCCAGACUCCUACGGGAGGCAGCAGUGGGGAAUAUUGCACGAUGGGCGCAAGCCUGAUGCAGCGACGCCGCGUGAGGGAUGACGGCCUUCGGGUUGUAAACCUCUUUCAGCAUCGACGAAGCGAAAGUGACGGUAGGUGCAGAAGAAGGACCGGCCAACUACGUGCCAGCCGCCGCCGUAA